GCCAACAAGUGCCAAGCAUCUCUCGGGGAACUCCUUCAAGACUGUUGGAAGACCAUUUCAGCUGUAGGGAGCCACUCACACUGUGACCUCCAGCACUUGGCCCAGUUACAGCCAUGCUGAUAUUUCAGAUCCCGAAGAAGCAAGUCAGCUGGAUGGCUUAGCUAGCGCCCAUUGAUUUGAUGCAAGAAGCAGAAUCAAGAUCGUUUGGAAAACCGCUUGACAAAUCGAAUUAGUGGACUGUGACAUUACCCACCACAAUAUGCUCUGCAUAAUUCACAGCACAAGUUCACAGAGCUGCAGUGAUACCUGGGUAUAUUUUUCUUGUUGUAUGAUGGCACCAGUCAUGAAUGAGGCUCAGAGUUGCCAAAUAAUGCUAAUAUGAGCAUGACUACAGCAGCUCAAAUCUUACUUCUAAUCUCCUUUCCUAUUCAGUUUUUCUUGGUUUAAAUUGAUUUGUGAAAGCAACUUAUGUGAAACUCGAUGUGGAUAAACAAAAAGUGUGUUACUAACAUUUUAAUAAUAAUUUAGGCAUACUGGUAAAUGUAUUCUAAAUGGUUAGGUUACUAGAGUAUGGUUACUUUUUAAAGUAUAAAUUUAUUGUAGAUGUCUUGGCAUUCUCUGCUGGAAUAUUUUAUGCCAUUUUACCAUCCCCUCGAACUCUCAGCACUAAAGUUUCCUCAUAAGAUUAUGUAUAGUCAAUUUUUUUUAUUAUUUACUUCAUUGUUUGUUUGAUUUGACAGUCAGUGGAGGGGGGAAAUAGUUUAUUGGGAGUAAGUGUGGAUGCUCGAUGAUAAAGUUAUACUUAAAAAAAAAAAAAAAGAAAGGUCUGCUGAAAAGGUUCAGCCUAUGGCUUUUGAUGUUUUAAUACAUAACAGCUGUUAUAGAGAACAGCUAUAGAGACUGUGUUAUUUACUGUGUCAUUUAUUUCAGAAGAUGAUAGAUGUAAGUACAGAUUUUAUUUAACAGUGUAAACAAGCUACAAACCAACAACAAAAAAUGUGAAAGAAACACCACUAUAACCAGUGAAAACUAUAAACAAGGCUGUGGAACAAGCAAAGAGACAUAUAUGAGACAAAAACAAAAGCUUAACAAUGAGAUAUACACUACAUUGAGUCUGUAUUAGAUGGAUUUCCUAUCUGUGCUAUUUUAGCAUUGCAUUUCUCCAAACUAAAUUAUAUACCACAUGUAACACACCCAAACUUAAAAAUAUUGACCAUAUAUCUAGCCAAGCCUUUAGGGAAGCAUAUGUUCAUCUAUCGCUAAUGCCAGUGCAAAAUGUAUCACUGCCUUUAGAGAUCGUUUGACCAUUUAUGGUCAUUGAAUAAAAUAUUCAUUUGUAUAGCAUUCACAGUGCUUAAAUGUUGCAACUGGCAACUUUCUAUUUAUGCAAAUUUAAAAUUAGACACCAUCUGCCAGUCGCACAUUUAGACCCUGCAAUUUAGCAGCUUCAGUGUGGCAUCUUUUUAGCCCAAUGAUGGCUACAUGAUGUGCUGCAUG